rnacentral:rRNA from 1 species
UACGUAGGGGGCAAGCGUUGUCCGGAAUCAUUGGGCGUAAAGCGCGUGUAGGCGGUCCGGUAAGUCCGCUGUAAAAGUCGGGGGCUCAACCCUCGGAUGCCGGUGGAUACUGUCGGGCUUGAGUACGGAAGAGGCGAGUGGAAUUCCUGGUGUAGCGGUGAAAUGCGCAGAUAUCAGGAGGAACACCAAUGGCGAAGGCAGCUCGCUGGGACGGUACUGACGCUGAGACGCGAAAGCGUGGGGAGCAAACAGG